rnacentral:rRNA from 1 species
AACGAACGCUGGCGGCAGGCUUAACACAUGCAAGUCGAACGGAUCCUUCGGGAUUAGUGGCAGACGGGUGAGUAACGCGUGGGAACGUACCCUUUGCUACGGAAUAACUCAGGGAAACUUGAGCUAAUACUGUAUGUGCCCUACGGGGGAAAGAUUUAUCGGCAAAGGAUCGGCCCGCGUUGGAUUAGCUAGUUGGUGGGGUAAUGGCCUACCAAGGCGACGAUCCAUAGCUGGUCUGAGAGGAUGAUCAGCCACACUGGGACUGAGACACGGCCCAGACUCCUACGGGAGGCAGCAGUGGGGAAUAUUGGACAAUGGGCGCAAGCCUGAUCCAGCCAUGCCGCGUGAGUGAUGAAGGUCUUAGGAUUGUAAAGCUCUUUCACCGGUGAAGAUAAUGACGGUAGCCGGAGAAGAAGCCCCGGCUAACUUCGUG